rnacentral:rRNA from 1 species
AUACGUAGGUGGCAAGCGUUGUCCGGAAUUAUUGGGCGUAAAGCGCGCGCAGGCGGUCCUUUAAGUCUGAUGUGAAAGCCCACGGCUCAACCGUGGAGGGUCAUUGGAAACUGGGGGACUUGAGUGCAGAAGAGGAAAGUGGAAUUCCAAGUGUAGCGGUGAAAUGCGUAGAGAUUUGGAGGAACACCAGUGGCGAAGGCGACUUUCUGGUCUGUAACUGACGCUGAGGCGCGAAAGCGUGGGGAGCAAACAGGAUUAGAUACCCUGGUAGUCCACGCCGUAAACGAUGAGUGCUAAGUGUUGGGGGGUUUCCGCCCCUCAGUGCUGCAGCUAACGCAUUAAGCACUCCGCCUGGGGAGUACGGUCGCAAGACUGAAACUCAAAUGAAUUGGCGGGG